rnacentral:rRNA from 1 species
CCUACGGGGGGCAGCAGUGGGGAAUAUUGGACAAUGGGCGAAAGCCUGAUCCAGCCAUGCCGCGUGUGUGAAGAAGGCCUUCGGGUUGUAAAGCACUUUCAGUGGGGAAGAAAGCCUUGGGGCUAAUACCCUCGAGGAAGGACAUCACCCACAGAAGAAGCACCGGCUAACUCCGUGCCAGCAGCCGCGGUAAUACGGAGGGUGCGAGCGUUAAUCGGAAUUACUGGGCGUAAAGCGUGCGUAGGCGGUCUGAUAAGCCGGUUGUGAAAGCCCCGGGCUCAACCUGGGAACGGCAUCCGGAACUGUCAGGCUAGAGUGCAGGAGAGGAAGGUAGAAUUCCCGGUGUAGCGGUGAAAUGCGUAGAGAGCGGGAGGAAUACCAGUGGCGAAGGCGGCCUUCUGGACUGACACUGACGCUGAGGUGCGAAAGCGUGGGUAGCAAACAGGAUUAGAUACCCGUGUAGUC